AAUCAUAGUAGUUAAGUGCACCCACUAAGACUUUAAGUUAGCUUCACGAGACCUAUUAAGAAUAGAAUUUCUUGUAGGCUUUGUGACCAGGGGGAUUAGCGCUGCUUUCCCAAGACAGGUUUAUAUGUGAUUAUGAUCUUCAGGCUUUGCCUAACCAGGUUGGCUGGCCGGUGCUGACGGGACUGAGCUGAGGCUAGGGUUCAACUUCCUUUUAAGACUUCCGCUGUAGCAGUAAAUAAUAUUUUGUCUUUUGUUUUCUCAACUUAAGACUUUCAUAUCAGAUUUAGAAUGACAUCUAUGAUUGAGCCUAAGCACUUAACUCCUAGUUUUAUGCUAAUGAAUAUUGGUUAUCAGAAGCAUGAAACAAAACUUGUGAUCCAAAGGGGCCUAGCCCGACUCGUUAUCUUAUUAUUCGAGUCUUAACAAGGUUGUUCCUUGUUUAUUUCUAUGAAUUAGUUGCACCUCGAUUAUAUUUA